rnacentral:rRNA from 1 species
AAGCUUGCUUGUUGGGGUUGUAGGACACUCUAUACGGAGUUACAAAGGACGACAUUAGACGAAUCAUCUGGAAAGAUGAAUCAAAGAAGGUAAUAAUCCUGUAGUCGAAAAUGUUGUCUCUCUUGAGUGGAUCCUGAGUACGACGGAGCACGUGAAAUUCCGUCGGAAUCUGGGAGGACCAUCUCCUAAGGCUAAAUACUCUCUAGUGACCGAUAGUGAACCAGUACCGUGAGGGAAAGGUGAAAAGCACCCCGGAAGGAGAGUGAAAUAGAACCUGAAACCGUGUGCUUACAAGUAGUCAGAGCCCGUUAAUGGGUGAUGGCGUGCCUUUUGUAGAAUGAACCGGCGAGUUACGAUUUGAUGCAAGGUUAAGCAGUAAAUGUGGAGCCGUAGCGAAAGCGAGUCUGAAUAGGGCGUUUAGUAUUUGGUCGUAGACCCGAAACCAGGUGAUCUACCCUUGGUCAGGUUGAAGUUCAGGUAACACUGAAUGGAGGACCGAACCGACUUACGUUGAAAAGUGAGCGGAUGAACUGAGGGUAGCGGAGAAAUUCCAAUCGAACCUGGAGAUAGCUGGUUCUCUCCGAAAUAGCUUUAGGGCUAGCCUCAAGUGAUGAUUAUUGGAGGUAGAGCACUGUUUGGACGAGGGGCCCCUCUCGGGUUACCGAAUUCAGACAAACUCCGAAUGCCAAUUAAUUUAACUUGGGAGUCAGAACAUGGGUGAUAAGGUCCGUGUUCGAAAGGGAAACAGCCCAGACCACCAGCUAAGGUCCCAAAAUAUAUGUUAAGUGGAAAAGGAUGUGGCGUUGCCCAGACAACUAGGAUGUUGGCUUAGAAGCAGCCAUCAUUUAAAGAGUGCGUAAUAGCUCACUAGUCGAGUGACACUGCGCCGAAAAUGUACCGGGGCUAAACAUAUUACCGAAGCUGUGGAUUGUCCUUUGGACAAUGGUAGGAGAGCGUUCUAAGGGCGUUGAAGCAUGAUCGUAAGGACAUGUGGAGCGCUUAGAAGUGAGAAUGCCGGUGUGAGUAGCGAAAGACGGGUGAGAAUCCCGUCCACCGAUUGACUAAGGUUUCCAGAGGAAGGCUCGUCCGCUCUGGGUUAGUCGGGUCCUAAGCUGAGGCCGACAGGCGUAGGCGAUGGAUAACAGGUUGAUAUUCCUGUACCACCUAUAAUCGUUUUAAUCGAUGGGGGGACGCAGUAGGAUAGGCGAAGCGUGCGAUUGGAUUGCACGUCUAAGCAGUAAGGCUGAGUAUUAGGCAAAUCCGGUACUCGUUAAGGCUGAGCUGUGAUGGGGAGAAGACAUUGAGUCUUCGAGUCGUUGAUUUCACACUGCCGAGAAAAGCCUCUAGAUAGAAAAUAGGUGCCCGUACCGCAAACCGACACAGGUAGUCAAGAUGAGAAUUCUAAGGUGAGCGAGCGAACUCUCGUUAAGGAACUCGGCAAAAUGACCCCGUAACUUCGGGAGAAGGGGUGCUCUUUAGGGUUAACGCCCAGAAGAGCCGCAGUGAAUAGGCCCAAGCGACUGUUUAUCAAAAACACAGGUCUCUGCUAAACCGUAAGGUGAUGUAUAGGGGCUGACGCCUGCCCGGUGCUGGAAGGUUAAGAGGAGUGGUUAGCUUCUGCGAAGCUACGAAUCGAAGCCCCAGUAAACGGCGGCCGUAACUAUAACGGUCCUAAGGUAGCGAAAUUCCUUGUCGGGUAAGUUCCGACCCGCACGAAAGGCGUAACGAUUUGGGCACUGUCUCAACGAGAGACUCGGUGAAAUCAUAGUACCUGUGAAGAUGCAGGUUACCCGCGACAGGACGGAAAGACCCCGUGGAGCUUUACUGUAGCCUGAUAUUGAAAUUCGGCACAGCUUGUACAGGAUAGGUAGGAGCCUUUGAAACGUGAGCGCUAGCUUACGUGGAGGCGCUGGUGGGAUACUACCCUAGCUGUGUUGGCUUUCUAACCCGCACCACUUAUCGUGGUGGGAGACAGUGUCAGGCGGGCAGUUUGACUGGGGCGGUCGCCUCCUAAAAGGUAACGGAGGCGCUCAAAGGUUCCCUCAGAAUGGUUGGAAAUCAUUCAUAGAGUGUAAAGGCAUAAGGGAGCUUGACUGCGAGACCUACAAGUCGAGCAGGGUCGAAAGACGGACUUAGUGAUCCGGUGGUUCCGCAUGGAAGGGCCAUCGCUCAACGGAUAAAAGCUACCCCGGGGAUAACAGGCUUAUCUCCCCCAAGAGUUCACAUCGACGGGGAGGUUUGGCACCUCGAUGUCGGCUCAUCGCAUCCUGGGGCUGUAGUCGGUCCCAAGGGUUGGGCUGUUCGCCCAUUAAAGCGGUACGCGAGCUGGGUUCAGAACGUCGUGAGACAGUUCGGUCCCUAUCCGUCGUGGGCGUAGGAAAUUUGAGAGGAGCUGUCCUUAGUACGAGAGGACCGGGAUGGACAUACCUCUGGUGUACCAGUUGUCGUGCCAACGGCAUAGCUGGGUAGCUAUGUGUGGACGGGAUAAGUGCUGAAAGCAUCUAAGCAUGAAGCCCCCCUCAAGAUGAGAUUUCCCAACUUCGGUUAUAAGAUCCCUCAAAGAUGAUGAGGUUAAUAGGUUCGAGGUGGAAGCAUGGUGACAUGUGGAGCUGACGAAUACUAAUCGAUCGAAGACUUAAUCAA